rnacentral:rRNA from 1 species
GGCAGACGUGGUGAGUAACGCGUGGGAACGUACCUUUUGGUUCGGAACAACACAGGAAACUUGUGCUAAUACCGGAUAAGCCCUUACGGGGAAAGAUUUAUCGCCGAAAGAUCGGCCCGCGUCUGAUUAGCUAGUUGGUGAGGUAACGGCUCACCAAGGCGACGAUCAGUAGCUGGUCUGAGAGGAUGAUCAGCCACAUUGGGACUGAGACACGGCCCAGACUCCUACGGGAGGCAGCAGUGGGGAAUAUUGCGCAAUGGGCGAAAGCCUGACGCAGCGACGCCGCGUGGGGGAUGAAGGCCUUCGGGUUGUAAACCCCCUUCAGCAGGGAACGAAGCGAGAGUGACGGUACCUGCAGAAGAAGCGCCGGCUAACUACGUGCCAGCAGCCGCGG